CCUACGGGGGGCAGCAGUGAGGAAUAUUGGUCAAUGGGCGAGAGCCUGAACCAGCCAAGUCGCGUGAAGGAUGAAGGUACAGAGUAUCGUAAACCUCUUUUGUCAGGGAACAAAGGCGGGGACGUGUCCCCGGAUGAGUGUACCUGAAGAAAAAGCAUCGGCUAACUCCGUGCCAGCAGCCGCGGUAAUACGGAGGAUGCGAGCGUUAUCCGGAUUUAUUGGGUUUAAAGGGUGCGCAGGCGGUCUGUUAAGUCAGCGGUCAAAGCCCGGGGCUCAACCCCGGCCCGCCGUUGAAACUGGCAGUCUCGAGUUGGAGAGAAGUAUGCGGAAUGCGCGGUGUAGCGGUGAAAUGCAUAGAUAUCGCGCAGAACUCCGAUUGCGAAGGCAGCAUGCCGGCUCCACACUGACGCUGAGGCACGAAAGCGUGGGUAUCGAACAGGAUUAGAUACCCCAGUAGUC
rnacentral:rRNA from 1 species